rnacentral:rRNA from 1 species
UACGUAGGCAGCAAGCGUUGUUCGGAAUUACUGGGCGUAAAGAGUGUGUAGGCGGUGCUCUAAGUCUGUUGUGAAAUCUCCCGGCUUAACCGGGAGGGUGCGGCGGAAACUGGAGUGCUUGAGGGUGGGAGAGGUAAGCGGAAUUCCUGGUGUAGCGGUGAAAUGCGUAGAUAUCAGGAGGAACACCUGUGGUGUAGACAGCUUACUGGACCACUUCUGACGCUGAGACACGAAAGCGCGGGUAGCAAACAGG